AGGACGAACGCUGGCGGCGUGCUUAACACAUGCAAGUCACGGGGGCCCGUAGCAAUACGGGCAACCGGCGAACGGGUGCGUAACACGUGAGCAAUCUGCCGAUCUCUGGGGGAUAGCCAGCCUAAACGGCUGGGUAAUACCGCAUACGCUCGUUGGGGGGAGUCCCCUGAUGAGGAAACCUCUGGGGGAGAUCGAGGAGCUCGCGACCUAUCAGCUAGUUGGCGGGGUAACGGCCCACCAAGGCAGCGACGGGUAGCUGGUCUGAGAGGAUGGCCAGCCACAUUGGGACUGCGACACGGCCCAGACUCCUACGGGAGGCAGCAGUGGGGAAUAUUGCGCAAUGGACGAAAGUCUGACGCAGCGACGCCGCGUGUGGGAUGAAGCCUUUCGGGGUGUAAACCACUGUUGCCCGGGACGAAACUCCUCUUUCGAGAGGAUUGACGGUACCGGGUGAGGAAGCACCGGCUAACUCUGCGCCAGCAGCCGCGGU
rnacentral:rRNA from 1 species